GACGAACGCUGGCGGCGUGCUUAACACGUGCAAGUCGAGCGGUAAGGCCCUUUCGGGGGUACACGAGCGGCGAACGGGUGAGUAACACGUGGGUGACCUGCCCUCAGCUCUGGGAUAAGCCUGGGAAACCGGGUCUAAUACCGGAUAUGACUCCAUGACGCAUGUUGUGGGGUGGAAAGCCUUGUGCGGCUGAGGAUGGGCCCGCGGCCUAUCAGCUUGUUGGUGGGGUGAUGGCCUACCAAGGCGACGGCGGGUAGCCGGCCUGAGAGGGCGACCGGCCACACUGGGACUGAGACACGGCCCAGACUCCUACGGGAGGCAGCAGUGGGGAAUCUUGCGCAAUGGGCGAAAGCCUGACGCAGCGACGCCGCGUGAGGGAUGACGGCCUC
rnacentral:rRNA from 1 species